rnacentral:lncRNA from 1 species
CUGACAAUAACCCUUUGUUCCUCCCUUCUGACUCACUGAAGAGCGUGAUCCACUCGUGUCAGCAGCUGUGACUCACAGUCUCAUGAUUCCCACAAAGCUGCUAGCGUUUCAGGAAUGGGCGGACCUGUGUGGCUUUCAAGUUCUCCAGGUGAUUAAAGCCUCUGCACUGAAACGUGAACACAGACGCAUUUUCAGCAUCCAAUUUGCACCCGUACUGACUUUAAUUCUUCUGAACAAUUCAUUGUAACUUUAAUUCAUCCAAAAGAUUUUGGACAAGGUGCUCUUCCAUCCACAUGCAGGAUACUUUCCUGAGCAAAGACCAAACAUCUUCAUCUUCCACAGCCUUCUUCCACCAACCUUUUCCAAUAUCCAGGCCUGAAAAAGAUGUCAUUGCUUGGUAUGUGUUUACCUCCUGUGGCUGUGUCUCCUCACCCCUCUCCUCCUUCUCCACUUCUUUGCCUUCCCAUAAUGUUUAAGCUCCAGCUUAUAUAAUAUCACUUCUUGAAAUGUUCCCUAAGCUCCAAAUUACCCACUCUUUAAAUUCUUACAAACUCUGUGUGCACCCUGACUAGUUCUUCUCAUUCACUAUCUAGCAGUGUAGUAAUUUGUAUCUGUCUUACACUCUCUAUUGGCUUCUCCAACUCAUAGGUGAAUGUAGUGCUCAUGUAGGCAUCUCCACAGG